UACGUAGGUGGCAAGCGUUAUCCGGAUUUACUGGGUGUAGAGGGCGCGUAGGCGGGGAAGUAAGUCAGAUGUGAAAACCACGGGCUCAACCUGUGGCCUGCAUUUGAAACUGUUUUUCUUGAGUGCUGGAGAGGCAAUCGGAAUUCCGUGUGUAGCGGUGAAAUGCGUAGAUAUACGGAGGAACACCAGUGGCGAAGGCGGAUUGCUGGACAGUAACUGACGCUGAGGCGCGAAAGCGUGGGGAGCAAACAGG
rnacentral:rRNA from 1 species